GGCUCUGCAAGAGAAGAAGGGAGGACGCCAGGGUGGUGAGUCCCUGAACCGGCACAUGCAGGCAUUCCUUCCUCGGGGCCCCAGCCCGGCCCCAGCCCCGCCUGCCAGAAGGCGCGGGAUCACCGGGUAAACACGAUUAGUCAUGUUCAGCUCGGCCGGCCGGGAAUCACAUUAAGUAAAUUGUUUGGAAAACAAGCCAGGAGAGGAAGGAGCAGUGGGCAGGUGGCCCCGGGAACCCAGACGGACAGCUGCUGUCGAUACGGCGACGGCUGCCCUGUGGCCGCCCCUGCACCCAGAUGGCGCCUGGCCUGGCUGCGGCAUCCUGGAGUCUGAGGCCAGCACCUGCGUCUCCCCAAAGCCCCUCGGAGCCUGCCCUGCGGUGCUGCUGCCCUCGUCUCCCAGCUUCCUCUGGCUGCCUGUGGAGCAUGCAUUCCAGAAGGACAGUGGUCUGGAGACAGCCCGCGGGCUGUCCAGGAGUCCAGGUGGAUGGGACAGCGACCCAGCUGCAGAGGCCUCUGAGCUGCAGCCCUCCCGGGGGAGGCGCUUCCGGCCCAUUCCUCCACACCAAGGAGGUCAGGUGGAGCAGACAGAGGAGCCACCGACGGUGGGGCAGGGAGAGGGCGGCUGCCGGGCUCUGGUCCACCUCCUACACAGGCCCUGGGUCCCCAGAACAUGUGGUUCCCAAAUGCCUGUUUGAUUUUUUGUUUUUGAGAUGGGGUCUCGCUCUGUUGCCCAAGCUGGAGUGCAGUGGUGCGAUCACAGCUCACUGCAGCCUCGACCUCCUGUGCUCAAGUGAUCCUCCUGCCUCAGCCUCCCAAGCAGCUAAAAUCAAACCCCUGUCUUUGUAGCUUCAUAGCUUCAGAGGAGGCACUCGGGGCUCCUCCAAGGCCACUCCCAUGCCCAGAGCCCAGCGAGGGGCUCCACAGGCUGCCAGGUACCCUGCUCUGCGGCCCCCAGUGCUCCAACUCCAGAGUUAGACUUCAGAGCAGCGAAGAACAAAAAUAGACCAUUAUUGCUGUACCUGACUCUUGGAACAUAAUUCUGCAAGAGCCAUUAUUUGGAAGCAGUAAUCUUCUGAAUCAUAAAAUUAUGCACUCACCGGAAAACUGUCCUGGUUGCUCUGUCCCUUGUGGGCGGGGGGAUUCACUGGUGGGGGGCAGUGUUGGGAGCUUUCUGAUCCCCAGCCCUCGGCCAGGAAGGGAUCUGCUCAGCCAGCAUGUAGCCUGACAUGGCACUGGGAGAGACUCCAGCCCCUGCCCACCCUCCACAUGGGCUGCGUAGUCUGGGGUAAGUCAUGGGCUUCUCCCAGCCCAGCUUCUAGGGAGCUCCUGCAAACCGUAGGGUCGCUGAGCAGAUGCAACUGAGUGAGCUUCUGUGUGCAGGGUGCUGCGUGUAGUGUCAGGCAUACACUGGGCGCUCAAUGAUUGCUCCCACAAGCUGCCCUAAGCAGCCCAGCAUCUCCCCAGCAUCCAGUAGGCUGCCUGGCUCCUCGGAGAAGGGGGCAGAGUCUUCACAGAGGCCUGCGACCAGAGAUAGGCCCUCAGCGCCAAGUCCUCCAUGACAAGGCGGAGGUCUAACCUGUGCCAGCCAACCCCUUGCAGGCUCGCCCAGCAUGAGGUUGGGGAGCUGGGUCCUUCACGGGGGGCAGCGAUGCAGCUGCAGCUUGGAGGGACUGCGGAACCUGCCGCUCAGGGAGGCAGUGGCUUGCACGGCUGGGACCCAUGCCCCACCCUGGAGAGGCUGCAGACCCCCCUGGGCUCCUCCAAUGUGUGCUGGGUGGGAGCAAACAUGGGGGGACACCCUAGCUAAGACUACAGGCUGCAGCCCCUCCAAAGGCCCCUGAGCCAAGCCUGUGCUCCCAGGACGAGCAUUCUGACCUGUUUCCUCUGUCGUAAGCGUAGGCUGGUGGCAGGCCCCUUCCCCCUUGGGGUCCAGGUCUGUGAGUGCAGCCAAUGGCACCUCCGCCUGUCCCCCACAUACACGCCAUCUGCCCCUGUGGCAGCCUGUGGCCAGGGGCACAUACGCUCCCCAGGACGGGGAAACUGAGGCAGGUGUGGGCCACCCUGGAGCAGCAGCAGCAGGGGUCCUGCGAGCGCUCUCAGGCCACCCUCCACACCAGGCACCUCCUCGGAGCCCCACUGGCUCUCGUCCUGGAAAUCGACGCUGGGCCCCUGUCCUUGGUGCCAUCGACCAGUUUCUGCCCAGGAGGCUCUGGCAGUCCCCACCCACAUCGCCCAGAAUCGCUCCCUUCAGAAAGAGCACAGCGGCGAUGGAACCAUCCUCAGCUUCUGUCAGCAUGCACUCCGGUCUCGCUCUCGAGAGGGCCCCAGGCAGGCUGGCAGGCCGGGGUCAGCGGGUUGGGCAUGUGGGUGAGUCUGGGGUGGGGGUGGAGGGCCAAGGGCACACACCCUAGGGGCAUGUUCUCUUUUCUGGGGAGGGUGAAGACACCAGGAGGAUUCCAGGCACACACGGUGCCUUGGACAAGUGGGGCUGUGUUCGCAGUGGGCGGAGUGGCACCGCAGCCUCCCUAGUCCUGGGUCUCAGGGAACCCAUCCGGGGGUGCCAGAUCACAGGGCCCCUGGGCGCUGGCCUCUGCCUGCUGCCCUCCAGGAGCUCACCGACCCAGCUGGGUGUAGGCACUAGUUGCCUCCCUCGUACGCAAAUUGUGGAUCCUCCCCUCGCUGGGUGCCAUGGGCACCCUGGGACUCUCCUUCCGUGGCCCAGUGGCUCCUUGUGGCUUGAGUGCCACUCCCAGCCUCUACCCCAGGCUCCGAGCCCUCCCCAGCUCUCUCCACCCUCCUCCAGCUCUAGGGGCCAGCCCCGCUGUGGCCCCCGUCGUGGCGAGGUGAGGCCGGGAGCGGCACGGUGGGCAGAGUGGGACCAUCUGGGUCCCCUGUGGCUUCUGGGCUGACCCUGGCAGACCGGCCGCCCGCAGAUGGUCCGGCCUCGCGGAACCCUCGCGGACUGGCCCACAGCCCUGGUCCCACUGGCAGUGACCCCAUGGUCGUCUGCGCCCCCACCCUAUGUUCUUGCUGUCUGCUCUGAGGUAGACCCCAGCUUGGGGUGGGGGUCCUGCCGCCAGCAGGCGGCCAGGGGGUCCCUCCUGGAGAGUCUCAAGAGGGUGGAGGGUCCUUGCUCAAGGGGAGAGGGUCAGGGGCUCUGCAGGCGUCUCUGAGGGGUGGGCUGGGAUUUCGGAGAGAAGUGGGUGGGUGGAGGCUGGUGGGCCGCAGGCAGCCCCAGCGAGAGGGGGUCCGUGGUGGUGGGAUUUCCAGGACAGUCCAUUUGGGUUUUAACCAUGGCUUAUUUGUGGAUCCCACACAUAUUUAAAUAUAGUCUAAAGGUACCCGCUAAGUUGUUACUUUUAUUUCCACUGAAAUGAAUCCAUGGGUACACCUUAGUCCCUCACCUAAGUUGGGGUUCUCAAGCAGGCGGCAGAGUCACCUGGGUCCUCAAAGCAGAUUCCUGGGCCUCGAGCUGGGCCCCCGACUCCCCAGGCAGUCAGGGCCUGGGAAUCUGCAUUCGUGACAAGCUCCCGGGAUGCUGAUCCCCCAGUCCGUGGAGUCUCCCGUGAGCCCCGCUCAUGGUAACAAGCAGGAUUGAGCACCUCAUUCCACUGAGCACGGAGGCUGCGGAUCACCGGACAUUUUCCCUCUAGGAGGUCCCCCAGCCCCCUCCCCUGCCCUGCCCCGAACCAGGGAGCCCCGCCACUGACUGAAGUGAGGGGCCCCCAGGUGACAGCAGAACUCUGAAGGCCCCGGGCCCCUCUCUGAGGGAGGUGGGAACAGCCGCCUGCCCUCUGUUCACAGGUGGGGUCAGCUCCCACUGGCCAGGCUCAUGUUGAAGAGGCACCAGCAGCUCCCACGGAAGGCCGGGUACCGGAACCAUGUUCGCACCUUUAAGCUUUUCAGUGUUUCUACAUGUUCUACAAGGAGGAUGUAUUGCCUUUAUCAUCAAGCAAGAGGGCUUAGAGGACCACAGCACCCAGCCCCAAGGUCCCCUCCCCUCCUGCCCAGCCUGCGGCCAUGGCCAGGCCCUCAGGGGAGGCUGCAGGCUGGGCCCAGGGCCCCUGCCAGAAUCCUCCCCAUAAGCCUUUCCAUCCUCUCUAGAGGUACCUGGACUCCAUCCCCCCACCCCUGCCAGCAGUAGCUUCCCGAGGCAGAUCCUCUGAGAACCUCUUUGUGGCUUUGUGGCCCCAACUCCUCCCCCAUCUCAUCUGCUGCCCCUCGCCUCAGCCUCCUCCCGCCAUCCUCGCAGCCCCAACUCCUCCCCCAUCUCAUCUGCUGCCCCUCGCCUCAGCCUCCUCCCGCCAUCCUCGCAGUUCUUGCCUCAGCUCCCGGCUGUGUUCCUCCAGCUCCCGCCACCUUGUACCUGGGCCCCAUCCGUCAUGUUCUGGGGCUCCCUGAGAAGCCUCUGGGGUCCCACUGUUCUGGAAUCGCUGGGCGCCCCAGGGGUGCAGGGUCCGGUGUGAGAGUCAGGGCCCAGCGCCCAGUGGGAGCUCAGCCCUGCAGGUGCUGGAUUUACUCACAUCCCCAACAUCAAGACGUGACACCCUCCACCCCCAAGCACCUGGUACCUCCUGGGGGCCCGAUGGCCAGAGAGGGGACCUGUCGGCCCCGUGCUGCCCCUCCUGCCAUCAGUCACCCUGAGUUCUGGGCAGGAGUCCCCUGGCCUCAAUCCCACCUACCCCAGGAGGAUCAAAUGAGGUGACGCCCGCCUGGGACGCUACACAGGUCAAGCCCAGCACCGUGAGGAUUAGUGACUGCUGGGAGCCAUGGCAACCGGAUGGUGGCUGGAUGGACUCCGCAGGGAUGGUCCUCAGACCCCUCUCCAGGGACCCCACCCUAGCUGUGACCUGUUCCACUGCCCAUGACACCCCCUUUCCUGAGGCUGAGGCCAGCAGCUCCCAGACACAAAGCCCGUGCCCCUCCCACACCAGGCAGAGGCGUGGUCACUGUGCUCAGGCUCCCCUGUAAUUACUCAAAAGCGACAGAGGCUGACUCCAGCUCACCUGGAACACCCCAGAGGCCUCUCGUCUUAGUCCCCGGACUGAGCCAGGCCCUGGGGGUGGUGGCCAAGAGGAGUGUGGGGCGUUCUGUCCUGCAGCCAACAGGGCCCUCCCUCCACUCCUCCGAAGGGCUCCCCCGCCCCGUGACCCUCUGAGCACCCGGCCUUUGCCCUGGCUGACCCCUGCCCGGUGCACCCACCUCCCUUUCUGCAGGUAACUCCUCCAGCAGCUGAAGCCACCCUUCUUACAGGAAGCCCUUGCCACCCCACACUUGUUCCACCGCCUGCUGCCCCCAACAGCCUGCGGACGCUCACAGGAGGCCACGGGGCCUGGCGGGUCUCAACAACAUCCCCUGCUCUGAUCACAGCAGGAUUCCAAUAAACACGGGUCCACGUGCACCUCCUGGCCCUGGCUGGUGCAGCACAGCCCGCCGGAUGGGAGGUCAGAGGUCAGCCCCCACUGGGGCAGCACAGCAGGUCACCAGCCUCCCAACAGGAGAAGAAAGACACUGGUGCAGGUGCUGCAGGCAUGUGUUGCCGGGACUGGGCUGGGAGGGUGUCCUGGUGUCUGAGCUCCUCAGGGGACCACCGCAGAGCGUCCCCAAGAGCACAGGGUGCCCCGAAGUCCUGCGGAUUCCAGCCUGGGGACCCGGCAGCAGGGGCUUCCCACUAAGGCAUCUGGAGUGAGGCGCAGGCUGCAGCUACCAAGGGCAGAGCGUGGCCCGGAGUCCAGCGAGAAGCAGGGAGACCCUCGAAGGGUUUCAAGGAUGGGGCCUUCUGCAGGGGCCUGAGCCCCGCCCCUGGGGCCCUGGGGGUGGCUGACCCUCCUGGCCGUGGUCUCAGGCUUCAGUGGGCACUCUGUUAAAAUGGGGUACUCAUUAAAAUGCAGCUUCCCAGGCUACCCCAGCCUUCAGGAUGGGAGGCGGGGGCAGUGCUGAGGCCCUCACCUUGCACAGGCUUAAGGGACGUCACUGCGCUGGGCGCUGAUCCAGGUGCCAGGGACAGAGCAGGUACCAAAGACCUGCCCCCUCCCAGCCCCAGGUAGCGGCCACAGCCAGGCCUGCACUUGGGGGAAGGUGAGGAUGAGGAAUUUGAGUGAAUAUGCCCUGGAAACUUGGCCUCUGGAGCUGGUGAGAGACCCCCACACGAGAUCCCCACACUCCUGGGGGAUCAUGGGGACCCCCCCGGUCCCACCUGGGCUAGGGCAGUGGGUUAUACCACCCAGGAGAGGCCUCAGGCCUGUGCCAGCACUCUGAUAGGCCCAGCUGGGGGGUGGGUCCUGCUCUCCUGGGCAUCUUCAUUUGAAAACGGGGAAACUGAGGCUCAGAGAGGGUAAGAGUCUUGGCUUGGAGCUGAGUUUCUGGAUGCUCAGGCCGGGUCCCACCCAGGACACCCUGCUGUCCGGUCAGGGGAGGGCAGCUGGAACCCACCUCAUCCCAGACAAUGAGGCCCUGGGAGUCCCGACCCAGCCUCAGCAUUGGCAGCGUCCUGGUUCAUCCUGGGAGGUGCUUCACGUGGUCACCAGGCAGCCCCACUCCUGCCAAAGGCUCCCAUAAGGCGAGAUUCAUCCUCUCCCCGGGGUACGCCAGGCAGCUCUCGGGGCACUGCUGUCUGGGACUGUGGACUCAGCCUGGGCAGGGCAGGGAGAAGCAGCCGAGGCCGUUCCCACAGAUGGUACAGCCCCAUUACCAGGGCCCCGGCUGCAUGCAGGACACCAGCCCUUCAGCUGGGGCCAAACCCAGCAUCCGGUACAGCUGUGGGCGCUGACUCAGGCAGUGGGGUGUGAAGGCAGGACCGUAGUGGGGGAGGAGAAAGGGGGCGAGCUUCCAAAAUUAACAGCCACAUGACGCGGAGACUUAACAUCCCACCGUACAGACAGCGGCGGCGUCCACAGAGGCGGCGUCCACAGAGGGGCCGGGUGAGCCCAGCGCUGCCGUAGGGCUGGGACUCGGGAAUGGACAUGCAAAGGGCAGCCCUCAUAGCCAUACAGACAGCAAAGAGGGUGUCACAGUACAGGUGCCGUGGGACAGGUCACAGCUAGGGUGGGGUCCCUGGAGAGGGGUCUGAGGACUGUCCCUGCGGAGCCCAUCCAGCCACCAUGCGGUUGCCAUGGCUCCCGGCAGCCACUAAGCCUCACAGUGCUGGGCUUGACCUCUUCGGCAUCCCAGGCGAGCGUCGCCUCACUGGAUCCUUCUGGGUGGGUAGGACCGAGGCGAGGGGACUCCUGCCCAGAACUCAGGGUGGCUGAUGGUGGGAGGGGCGGUGUAGGCCCGACAGGCCCCCUCUCUGGCCAUCAGUCCCGCAGGAGGUCACUGGGGGAGGGGUCACAGCCAGGAUCCAGACCCCGUGUGAUGCCAAAGGCCGUGGGCGUUCCUGCACAGGAGCAGCUGCUGACUCGUCCAGAGACGGAGGAAGCCAGGAGCCGAACCCCUGUCGGCUCCAGUGGGGACGGCACCAGUCUCAUGAGGCCAGAGGAGACCCAGUGCCAGGAUCCAGACAUGGGGUCCUAUCGGAGGCUACACACGGGGGAGAGGGUCCAGCGGCAGCAGGCGGGGCAGGAGAACUAUAAUCAGGGCAAAAACCACAAUCACAACAAUUGCAAAACCACAAACAUCUCAAAAACCACAACCACCACAAAACCACAACCACUGCAAGAAGCACGCCUAUCCUACAGCGUUUUCACUUAGCACCCUCCCCAACAACCUCCACCCACAGCCUCCAUUGAGCCCAAAACAAAGGGUCUCAAUCCUCAGCAUUGCCCGGGUUCCACAGGACGGCCAGGGUUCAGAUGUUCCUCAUAGAGAGGACUUGGGUCUCUGGUUGGCUCCUCCCAGAUUCCCUCUCUGGGAACCCCAACCACCUUCAGGUGUGUCUGCCGCAGAGGCACCCCCAGGUGUGCCUCAGUUACUGCCGACAGGAGCGUUCACCAGGUGUGGUGGUGUCUCCUUGCACUGCUGGAAAAUACCCGCGACCAGGUGUGGUGGCUGACGCCUCUGAUCCCAGCACUGUGGGAAGCCGGGGUGGGGGGGAUCAUGAAAUCAGGAGUUCAAGACC